rnacentral:rRNA from 1 species
CCUACGGGCGGCAGCAGUGAGGAAUAUUGGUCAAUGGCCGAGAGGCUGAACCAGCCAAGUCGCGUGAGGGAAGACGGCCCUACGGGUUGUAAACCUCUUUUGUCAGGGAACAAAGGCGGGGACUAGUCCCCGGAUGAGGGUACCUGAAGAAAAAGCAUCGGCUAACUCCGUGCCAGCAGCCGCGGUAAUACGGAGGAUGCGAGCGUUAUCCGGAUUUAUUGGGUUUAAAGGGAGCGUAGAUGGGUUGUUAAGUCAGUUGUGAAAGUUUGCGGCUCAACCGUAAAAUUGCAAUUGAUACUGGCAGCCUUGAGUACAGUUGAGGUAGGCGGAAUUCGUGGUGUAGCGGUGAAAUGCUUAGAUAUCACGAAGAACUCCGAUUGCGAAGGCAGCCUACUAAACUGCCACUGACAUUGAUGCUCGAAAGUGUGGGUAUCAAACAGGAUUAGAUACCCGUGUAGUC